CCUUUGGGCUUAGAACUGAAGGCCUAAUGAACAAGAAGGGGGCAAAGGAAGUGGAAGGGGAUUCAAAAUCCAUUCAUUCAGUUUUUCUCCACUGAGACUUCUCUCCCUGUCUGGUACCAAGAUUAAAGCGAAAGAAGGAGAAAUGGAUCCUACCUACAAGGUUGAGAUUCACCCUGGGAAUUGUUGAAGAUUGAAGAAUCUGAUAAAAAUGAGAGUACCAGAGAUUAUCAAGGGUGACUACUAGCCUUUAAAUGAAGUUGAUCAUGGUGUCCCAUCAUGACUUGGCAUGGCACAUCAUGAUGGUCGAAGCUUGAUGAUUAUGGAAUCAUGAACAUGAAGAUGUUUUGGAAAACAAAUUUGAAGAACUUUGAGGACCACAUGAAGAAUCAAGAGGAAAAUAGACUUGGAGUAGGUUUAAGAUUAGUUUGACUUUUGGUCAAUUGUUUGACUAAAACUCAACAGUUGACCAAAAGUCAAGUUUUAGUCAAAUGUGAUCCUUUUUUGUGUAGUUUGAAAUUUUGGACUUUUUGUAAUGUAUUUGAUGAUCUUGUAAUGAAAAUUGAUCCUUUGAAUGUAAUAAUGACUUAUUUUGAAAGAGAAGAACUUUUCCCUCCAAA